GAUGAACGCUAGCUACAGGCUUAACACAUGCAAGUCGCGGGGCAGCAUGGGGGUUGCUUGCAAUCCCCGAUGGCGACCGGCGCACGGGUGAGUAACGCGUAUCCAACCUGCCCUUCACCACGGGAUAACCCGGCGAAAGUCGGACUAAUACCGUAUGUUGUCCAUUGACGGCAUCCGAUUUGGACGAAAGGUUUGGCGGUGAAGGAUGGGGAUGCGUCCGAUUAGCUGGACGGCGGGGUGACGGCCCACCGUGGCGACGAUCGGUAGGGGUUCUGAGAGGAAGGUCCCCCACACUGGAACUGAGACACGGUCCAGACUCCUACGGGAGGCAGCAGUGAGGAAUAUUGAUCAAUGGGCGUAAGCCUGAACCAGCCAAGUAGCGUGCAGGAUGACGGCCCUAGGGGUUGUAAACUGCUUUUAUGCGGGGAUAAAGUGGCCCACGUGUGGGUUUUUGCAGGUACCGCAUGAAUAAGGACCGGCUAAUUCCGUG
rnacentral:rRNA from 1 species